GAAAGCCCCCUUCGGGGGGCAAGUAGAGUGGCGCACGGGUGAGUAACACGUAGGUAAUCUACCUUUGGAUGGGGAAUAACCACCGGAAACGGUGGCUAAUACCGCAUAAUGCAGCGGCACCUAAUGGUGACAGUUGUUAAAGCGGGGGAUCGCAAGACCUCGCGUCUGAAGAGGAGCCUGCGGCAGAUUAGCUAGUUGGUAAGGUAACGGCUUACCAAGGCGAUGAUCUGUAGCCGGCCUGAGAGGGCGGUCGGCCACACUGACACUGACAUACGGGUCAGACUCCUACGGGAGGCAGCAGUCGGGAAUUUUGGGCAAUGGGCGAAAGCCUGACCCAGCAACGCCGCGUGAAGGAUGAAAUCCCUCGGGAUGUAAACUUCGCAAGAACGGGAAGAAUAAGUAAGGGUUAAUAUCUCUUACGAUGACGGUACCGUUUGUAAGCUCCGGCUAACUCCGUGCCAGCAGCCGCGGUAAUACGGGGGGAGCAAGCGUUGUUCGGAUUUACUGGGCGUAAAGGGCGCGUAGGCGGCCACCGCAAGUCGACUGUGAAAUCUCCGGGCUUAACUCGGAAAGGUCAGCCGAUACUGCGGGGCUAGAGUGCAGAAGGGGCAACUGGAAUUCUCGGUGUAGCGGUGAAAUGCGUAGAUAUCGAGAGGAACACCUGCGGCGAAGGCGGGUUGCUGGGCUGACACUGACGCUGAGGCGCGAAAGCUAGGGGAGCGAACGGGAUUAGAUACCCCGGUAGUCCUAGCCUUAAACGAUGAAUGCUUGGUGUCUGGGGUUUUAUAGU
rnacentral:rRNA from 1 species